GUGUCAGCCGCCGCGGUAAUACCCGCGGCCCGAGUGGUGGUCGAUAUUAUUGAGCCUAAAACGUCCGUAGCCGGUCUUGUAAAUCCUUGGGUAAAUCGGCCAGCUUAACUGUCCGAAGUCCGGGGAGACUGCAAGACUUGGGAUCGGGAGAGGUCAGAGGUACUUCUGGGGUAGGGGUAAAAUCCUGUAAUCCUGGAAGGACCACCGGUGGCGAAGGCGUCUGACUAGAACGAAUUCGACGGUGAGGGACGAAGCCCUGGGGCGCAAACGGGAUUAGAUACCCCGGUAGUCCAGGGUGUAAACGCUGCGGGCUUGGUGUUGGGGGUCCUUUGUGGGCGCCCAGUGCCGGAGAGAAGUUGUUAAGCCUGCUGCUUGGGGAGUACGUCCGCAAGGAUGAAACUUAAAUGAAUUGACGGGG
rnacentral:rRNA from 1 species